AUUGAACGCUGGCGGCAGGCCUAACACAUGCAAGUCGAACGAGUGGCGGACGGGUGAGUAACGCUUGGGAAUCUCGCUUAUGGCGGGGGAUAACUACGGGAAACUGUAGCUAAUACCGCGUACCAUAGGCUGAGCCCAAGUGGGAUUAGGUAGUUGGUGAGGUAAAGGCUCACCAAGCCGACGAUCUCUAGCUGGUCUGAGAGGGUGACCAGCCACACUGGGACUGAGACACGGGCCAGACUCCUACGGGAGGCAGCAGUGGGGAAUAUUGCGCAAUGGGGGCAACCUGACGCAGCCAUGCCGCGUUAAUGAAGAAGGCCUUCGGGUUGUUAAGUUCUUUCUGUAGCGAGACGUGAACUACAGAAGAAGGACCGGCUAACUCCGUGCCAGCAGCCGCGGUAAUAC
rnacentral:rRNA from 1 species